AAGGACGACCAGAAAUACUACAACAGCUUUGUGUCACAGCUAAAUGGGCGCUUGUCCGUUAACACUGAGGACAAGGCAACAAAGGAAGCUUGCACCGAUAUGCUACGCUCUGCGGUAAAAAACCAGCGUUAUCGGCUCAAGCAGAAAUACUUCAAUGGUGUACCUGCAAAUGAGAUUAGCACAACUUCUCCUGUAUCUUACAUGACUGAUGAACAGUGGAGGGCAUUAGUUGCAAAGUGGUCUGAUCCAAAGAACAUGGAAAUAAGUGAAAAGAACAAGCAGAACCGCAGUCCAG